rnacentral:rRNA from 1 species
GGGUGCGAUCAUACCAGCACUAAUGCACCAGAUCCCAUCAUAACUCUACAUUUAAGUGUGCUUGGGAGAGAGUAGAAUUAAGAUAGGCUUUGUCGCAAGAC